GAUGAAGAACGUAGCGAAAUGCGAUAAGUAGUGUGAAUUGCAGAAUUCAGUGAAUCAUCGAAUCUUUGAACGCACAUUGCGCCCUUUGGUAUUCCUUAGGGCAUGCCUGUUCGAGCGUCAUUUAAACCUUCAAGCUCAGCUUGGUGUUGGGUGACUGUCCGCUUCACCGCGGACUCGCCUCAAAAUUAUUGGCGGCCGGUACAUUGGCUUCGAGCGCAGCAGAAACCCGAACUCGGGCGCGUCGUAUUGGCUCCCAGAAGCUAUCUUCACAAUUUUGACCUCGGAUCAGGUAGGGAUACCCGCUGAACUUAAGCAUAUCAAUAAGCGGAGGA
rnacentral:misc_RNA from 1 species